rnacentral:lncRNA from 1 species
AUGGAGGAGUUGCUGGCAGCAGAGCUGGACCAGGCAGGCUGUGUGUCUAUAUCAGCUUCCCAAAGCAGGGGUGCAGAUGCAGGGGCAAGCCACCAGCAAGAAGCAGAACAGCAGGAGCAAGCAGAGCUGUCUGUGCUCAUUGAGUGCUACCAAAGCUCUUUGUGGCUGUGGGGGCAAAAGAAGCAUGGCCCUGUUUUGAAGGAGGUCAUCGUGUCCUUCAGGAGGAGGCCUUUAGAGGAACCAAACAGGACCUUCCAAGUCCACAGCUUGUCACAGCAGCCCAGUGGCCUGCAGGACAGAGAACAACAGAACCAAGGACAGGGUUCCUUGCUGAGGCCAGGCCCCAAGGCUUUUGGUGACACAUGUGGGCAGGACAACAAGGGCUCCCCCUCUGGUCCCACGGAGGGUCCCAGCUGCCCCACAGAUGAGGGAACAAGAACAAGUGGCAGACUGGAAGGAUCUCAGGACAAGGAAUUUCCCUUGAAUGAAGACCAUGGAGGAGAAGGUAGCACAGCCAUUGUCACCCCAGCAGCUCAUGAAGAGCCCUCUUGGGUUGGGGAUCAGGCAGCAGCUGGCCCAGAUCCAGACCAGGCCCACAUCAUCCCUUUCUCUGCCUUCCUGGAGGCCCUGGCUGAAGGGAGCCAGAUGUGCCGCAGGAAGGUUCUGAGCAUUCUAGAAAAGGUCUUAAUUGCUGCACAAGACAAAGGAGAGCAAAAGAAGCAGCACCCAACAGGUGGCAAAGACGUUUUGACAAAUCCAGCCCAGUCCAUCAGGGCUGAGCACCUGGGCAGAGUGCAGCCUGUGAAACAGGGUCCUGGCCAGCAGCUGGUAGAACCAAAGCCAGACCUGGAACUGAACAUGAAGGAAGCAGCAGAAACAGGAACACCUGCAGAACCUGCCUUCAGAUCUCCUUCGCCCACAGUCAUUGAUGUCCUGGCUCAAGAGAGACGGACGUCCAUCUUCAAGAGUGCCCCAAGGGCUCUGCCCAGGGCCUCCACUGCAAUGCACAGCAGAGGAAAGCAGGAACAGCAGCAGCCCACACCUUGUGCACAGGAACUGAUGGACACAGCCCAAUAUAUCAGCAGUGAGGUCCUGAGCAAGUCUAGAACUGUGAUCCAGGGACUCAAGCAGAAGGAAGAGCAAGACUACUGGGAACACAGCACAGAUGCAACACUGGCAGUAAGAGCCAGAGCAGCAGGGGCAGUGAGCCCUGCACAUGCCCCGCACAAUCCCACAGCUGAUGUCCUGGCUCUCCUGGACACAGCCCCGUACACAACAGAUGAGAUCCUAAGCAGAGCUAUGAUUGUGAUCCACAAAUCUGAGGAGUACACGGAAGAACAGAGGGACUGGGAACAAGGCACUGGUGAGGGAAUGACGGCAAUAGCCCCAGAAGGAUGGGCAGAGAGCCCAGGACAUACCAUUCACAGUCACACAGCUGAUGCUCCAGUAUUCCUGGACCACAAUGACUACCUUCGGACAGAGGUGGUUAAGAAGGCCGUGCUUAUGGUCCAGAAACCAUCUGAAUACUCAGAGGAGGAGCAGGACCGGGAACUAAUUGCAGACAGAUUAAAAAUGGUACAAAGACCCUCAGGUCAUGUCCAAAGCAUUCCAGCACCUGCAGUCAUCAACACCCAGGCUCGACAGAGGUGGCUGAGGCUUGUCCACAAAGCAAUGAGAGCUCUGCCCUUAGCCUCCACAGCCACCUCUGCCACAGGGAAGGAGAAGAAGCAGCUAACAGCUGAUGGCAUGGAUCUGCUGGACACAGCAGAGUGUAUCAGGAGAGAUGUCCCAGACAAGGCUACACUUGAAAUCCAGAGACCUGGCCAACAAAUUGUGGAACAGCAGGACAUGAAACCCAGAAGGGAUGUGUCACCAACAGUAACAGCUACUGCAGCAGGGAAAAAGAGCCACGUACAUGAGACAUGUAGUCCCACAGCUGAUGGGCUGGUCUUCUUGAAUGCAGCUGACUGCAUACAUACUGAAGUUGUUAAGAAGGCCUUGCGUGUGACCCAGAGACACUUGGAAGAGACGGAAGAACCAUGGGAGCAGGAACAAGGUGUAGAUGAAGAGAUGGGAGCAAAAGCCAGAACAGUAGAGGCAGGGGGGCAGACACAUUUCCCGCACAGCCCCAGAGCUGAUGACCAGGUUCUCCUGGACACAGCCCAGCACAUCCCAGCCCCAGGAGAAGGGACAGAGAGCCCAGGACAUACCUUGCACAGUUGCCCAGCUGGUCCUCCAGUAUUCCUGGACUAUAACGACUAUCUCCGGACAGAGGCGGUUAAGAAGGCCGUGCUUAUGGUCCAGAAACCAUUCGAAUACCCAGAGGAGGAGCAGGACCAGGAACUAACUGCAGAGAGAUCAAAAACAGCAAAAAACCUUUGGAACGUGCCUAAAGCAUUCCAGUACCUACAGUCAUCAACACCUGGGCUCGACACAGAUGGCUGA